GGAAGGAUCAUUAAAUGAUAAGCUGCAUGCUAUGCAUGUGACUUGCUAUCAUAAACCACCGUGUAUUGUACCUGUUGCUUUCGUGAGGCGCCGGGUUGAAUUUUACUGUCAGCCAGGCCGCCUAACAUGAUUGAUAUCCUAUGUGUCCUAUUCAUUUUUGUGUUUUCGGUUCAUCUUUCGAAACCCUCCCCCCCCCCCCCCUCCUUAGACUUUGCAGAGGUCUCUGAAGGGGGGGGGGGGGGGGGGCUUACCCUAGAAGUUUCUCUUUAUUUUCCGGGGAUAUUAAGGGAAAAAAAAAAAAUCAAAAGAUGAUCAUGUAAUGCUAAAAUAGAUUAUGGCGUUGGUUUAUCAAUCAUUACUUGGGCGAGUCUUCGCGAAAGGUCUACUCUUUAAAACCAUUUUUGAAAAUUUGUCUGGUCUGAAUACGAGAUAUUUUAUAUAAUCUAUUGAGAAAAAACUUUAAAACUUUCAACAACGGAUCUCUUGGUUCUCGCAUCGAUGAAGAACGCAGCGAAAUGCGAUAAGUAGUGUGAAUUGCAGAAUUCAGUGAAUCAUCGAAUCUUUGAACGCACAUUGCGCCUCCUGGUAUUCUGGGAGGCAUGCCUGUCCGAGCGUCAUUGAACAAAUGUUAUGUAGUUUUAUUUUUCUUGUUUGGUCCAACUUUGGUCAAAUGAGCCUCUUAAUCUACGUGAUGGCUGACGGAUGAGUGGACGAGUAAUUUUACAGCUCACUUGCCACACACCGUUGAAAUUCCUAGGCAGAGUUUUCGCAAGCUGUGCGGUGUAAUAGUAAUUUCAAUUCACCAUUUACAGCCUGCAACUAUCUCUUGCCGACCCAAACUCCCCAUAAACUUUCAAUGUUUUGACCUCGGAUCAGGUAGGGAUACCCGCUGAACUUAAGCAUAUCAAUAAGCGGAGGAAAAGAAACCAACAGGGAUUGCCUCAGUAACUGCGAGUGAAGCGGCAAAAGCUCAAAUUUGAAAUCUGGCGUCAAUUGACGUCCGAGUUGUAAUUUGGAGGGGCAUCUUCGGGUCCGGUACCGUCUUAUGUUCCUUGGAACAGGACGUCACAGAGGGUGAGAAUCCCGUGCUUGGGCGGAUAACCGGUCCUUUGUGAAGUGUCUCCGACGAGUCGAGUUGUUUGGGAAUGCAGCUCAAAAUGGGUGGUAAAUUUCAUCUAAAGCUAAAUAUUGGCGAGAGACCGAUAGCGCACAAGUAGAGUGAUCGAAAGAUGAAAAGCACUUUGAAAAGAGAGUUAAAAAGUACGUGAAAUUGUUGAAAGGGAAGCGCUUGAGAUCAAACUCAGUUGUUGGUGUACGACCGGGCUUCUGUUCGGAUUCAGUGCCAGCAAUUGGGUCAGCAUCGGUUUUGACGGCGGGAAAAAUGGUAGGGAAAUGUGGCUCCUCUCGGGGAGUGUUAUAGAUCCGACCUUCAAUGCCGCCUGUUGGGACCUAGGACCGCGCCUUUGGGCUAGGAUGCUGGCAAAAAGGUCUUAAGCGACCCGUCUUGAAACACGGACCAAGGAGUCUAACAUCUAUGCGAGUGUUCGGGUGGAAAACCCUUGCGCGAAAUGAAAGUGAACGUAGGUGGGAACCGUAAGGUGCACCAUCGACCGAUCCUGAUGUCUUCGGAUGGAUUUGAGUAUGAGCAUAGCUGUUGGGACCCGAAAGAUGGUGAACUAUGCCUGAAUAGGGUGAAGCCAGAGGAAACUCUGGUGGAGGCUCGCAGCGGUUCUGACGUGCAAAUCGAUCGUCAAAUUUGGGUAUAGGGGCGAAAGACUAAUCGAACCAUCUAGUAGCUGGUUCCUGC
rnacentral:misc_RNA from 1 species